rnacentral:rRNA from 1 species
UUCGACCUCAAAUCAGGUAGGAUUACCCGCUGAACUUAAGCAUAUCAAUAAGCGGAGGAAAAGA